rnacentral:sRNA from 2 species
UUCCAGUUUGCGCUUAAUCUCCAUUUGGAGAGCGGGGGAACCAAAUACGGGUUUUUGUACCGUGUUUUGAAUUCUUCAAGGGGUGAAUUUCGGAGCCUUUGCCAUGAGCAUUGCGUUUUCGAAUAGGGCGUCUCUCUUGCCCGAAUCCGUCAGCUAACCUCGUAAGCGUUCAUAGAGAGUGAUC